rnacentral:rRNA from 1 species
GAAUGCUGACAUAAGUAACGAUAAAGCGGGUGAAAAGCCCGCUCGCCGGAAGACCAAGGGUUCCUGUCCAACGUUAAUCGGGGCAGGGUGAGUCGACCCCUAAGGCGAGGCCGAAAGGCGUAGUCGAUGGGAAACGGGUUAAUAUUCCCGUACUUGGUGUUACUGCGAAGGGGGGACGGAGAAGGCUAUGUUGGCCGGGCGACGGUUGUCCCGGUUUAAGCGUGUAGGUGUGUGUUCCAGGUAAAUCCGGUUCACUUUAACACUGAGGCGUGACGACGAGGCACUACGGUGCUGAAGCAACAAAUGCCCUGCUUCCAGGAAAAGCCUCUAAGCAUCAGGUAACACGAAAUCGU